rnacentral:lncRNA from 1 species
AUGUACUUACAGUAAUGGUAGACAAAGACCUCAGCCGCCUCAGGAGAGGCUGAGAUCUCAGCCUGGGGUCCUCCGCUGAGAGACCGAGGAGGAGCCCGAGACCAUUCUUGGACAUCCUGUGAAUAUCAGAAGAUACAUUUUGGAGGCGUUAAAAGAAGGGGAUAUGGUCUUCACAUUUGCCUCCAUGGUUCCACCCAACCUUCCUUGGACACAAACAUACCUUGACAAGUGAUCUUGCCUAAGCAAGGACAAAGCUAUUAAAAAGGAUUCCAUCCUCCUCCUCCUCCUUCCUGUGCCCAACCUCUAC